UAGUCGUUUUUUGUCGGGCGUGCCGCACUGUCGUCUUUUCCACUGUAUCGCAUAUUAUUUAACGGUUAAUCGCUCUGUCGUACACAUUUUCGUACGCGAAUUAAGUUUAGGCCAAAAGCAAAAGUUCAAAGCAAAUAACGAAUAAAUUUUGAUUGAAAACAGAGUCAAAAUAAAAACCAAUUCCACAUUGUGCAACUCCCAGUCAAAAGUGUUAAUUUAAAGAUAAUUUAAAAUAGAGAUGGCCACAGUUUGCCUUCCCAAUUAUACAGAACGCUUUCAAACUGAAGAAACAUUCGCAAAUGAGAAUGAGAAUGGUGAUACUGCCUGCAAAAACAUCCACACAUGUCAUGAGCCGACGCCGUCGGCCGCUACCACCAAGGCCGGGACCAGUGCGUUCUUCUUCAGCCGAAGCACCAACUACCAGAGCUGGGUCCAACAGCUGAUCAGCUUCAGCUUCACCUCCUCGUUCCACCUGCUCUCCAUCACCUGCAUUUUGAGCAUCAGUAAGUUCUGCAAUGCCGCCGCCAUGAACGCCGCCCAGGCUACAGCCUCCACACCCAGUCCCAGCGAGAUAAUGCAGAAUCUAAGCGGAUCGGCGCUCCUGGAGAAGAUUAGGCGCUCCAGCACAUUGGGGCCACCACUGGAUCGACUAAAGCACUUGGCCCCAGCGGCAGCAAACAGUCUGAGUCCCGGUAUUGGAAUGGCCAAUUUUGGCAACUCUUUCAAUUCGGUAUUCAAUGGAAAUCCGUUCAAGUUUCUAAAUGUUUCCGGGAAAAUUGGAACCCCAUUGGAUAUAUCUCAAAGCAUACCCAACUACUGCGAGGAGAAGCAAUUCCAAUGCGCCAGUGGAGCCUGUAUAGCCAUCAGAUUCGUGUGCGACGGCGACUCCGACUGUCCGGACCACAGCGAUGAGCGACUGGAGCAGUGCAAGUUCAGAGAAUCGACUUGCAACGCGGACCAAUUCCGCUGUGGCAAUGGCAAUUGCAUUCCACAGAAAUGGGUCUGCGAUCACGAGGCCGACUGUACCGAUGGCUCCGACGAGCUAUCCCUCCUCUGCACGAGAAAGACCUGCUCGCCCGAGCAGUUCCAGUGCAAGUCCGGCGAGGGUGUGUGCAUACCACUCUCCUGGAUGUGCGAUCAAAACAAGGACUGCGACGAUGGCAGCGAUGAGGCCCAGUGCAAUGCCACAUGCCGCUCGGACGAGUUCACCUGCGCCAGUGGCGACUGCAUCCAGAGCCGCUGGAAGUGCGACGGGGAUCACGACUGUGUGGACGGGUCCGAUGAGCUCAACUGUCCCGCCAAGGGAAAGUGCCAAGAGGAGGCAUUCACCUGCGACAACGGGGAUUGCAUCAGCAAGCGGUGGGUCUGCGACGGAGACUAUGACUGCAAGGACCACAGCGAUGAGAAGCAAAACUGCAGCAUAGAUCCAGGACUCUUGAGAGGCUUCUGCCAACCACACGAGUUCUCGUGCAAGGAUCGCAUCACCUGCCUGCACAGCACUUGGGUGUGCGACGGAGAUAUCGAUUGUCCCGGCGGCGACGACGAGGAUCCGGCCAACUGCCAGAACGUGACCUGCAGGCCGGAUCAGUUCCAGUGCGGUGAUCGGAGCUGCAUCGCCGGACACCUCAACUGCAAUGGCGAGAAAGACUGCGCGGAUGGCAGCGACGAGAGGGACUGCGGCCUGGCCACACCCCCCAGGGAGUGCAACGCCACCACCGAGUUCAACUGCGGUGGAGGUCAGUGCAUAGCCCUGGACAAGGUCUGCAACAAGCGGAAGGACUGCCCCGACGGCGAGGACGAGCCGGCCGGCAAGUGCGGCGUAAAUGAGUGCGCCUCCAAGAACGGGGGCUGCAUGCACCAAUGCAUUGACCAGGUGGUGGGAUACAAGUGCGAGUGCCGAAAGGGAUACAAAUUAUCCGGUGAUAAGAGGACCUGUGUGGACAUCGACGAGUGCGAGAACCCGGGCACCUGCUCCCAGCUGUGCAUCAACGAGAUCGGAGGAUUCAAGUGCGAAUGCGAGGCGGGAUACAUGCGGGACCCGCGCAACCACACGCGUUGCAAGGCUGGCGAGGGCCACGCCUCUCUGCUGCUGGCGCGGCGUCACGAUAUCCGAAAGAUCGCCCUGGACCACAUGGAGAUGACGUCGAUCGUAAACAGCACCAAGUCGGCCACGGCCCUGGACUUUGUGUUCCGCACGGGGAUGAUCUUCUGGAGCGAUGUGACGACGCAGAGCAUCUACAAGGCGCCCAUCGACGAGGGCAACGAGAAGACCGUGGUGCUGAAGCAGUCUUCGGUGACCUCCGACGGACUGGCAGUGGACUGGAUCUACAACCACGUGUACUACACGGACACGCACAAGUGCACCAUCGAGCUGACCAACUUCGACGGCAACAUGGGCAAGGUGCUCAUCGAGGACGCGCUGGACAUACCGCGCUCCAUCGCCCUCGACCCCAUCGAGGGCUGGAUGUACUGGUCCGACUGGGGCGCCUCUCCGCGCAUCGAGCGCGCCGGCAUGGACGGCUCCCACCGCACCACCAUCAUCAGCUACGACGUCAAGUGGCCCAACGGCAUCACUUUGGACCUGGUGCGCAAGCGCAUCUACUGGGUGGACGGCAAGCUGAACGUCAUCUCGUCGGCCAACUACGACGGCUCCCAGCGGCGCCAGAUCCUCUACUCCACCGAGUACCUGCGGCAUCCCUUCUCCAUCACCACCUUCGAGGACUACAUCUACUGGACCGACUGGGACAAGCAGACCGUCUUCAAGGCAAACAAGUUCACCGGCGAGGGCGUGGAGCCCAUCACAGCGGUUCACAUGCUCCAGAAUCCCAUGGUGAUCCAUGUGUACCAUCCGUAUCGACAGCCCGAUGGCAUCAACCACUGCCAGUCCGUGAAUGGCCACUGCUCUCACCUCUGCCUGCCCGCCCCAAGGAUCAACGAGCGCAGUCCGCGCAUCUCCUGCGCCUGUCCCACGGGUCUCAGGCUGAUGUCGGAUGGCCUAAUGUGUGUCGAAGAUCUUGAAAAGAAAACCAAUGACAGCAGUUCCACACACUCAAUUCACAAGAUCGAUGUGCCAGCAGAGCAGGAUAAUGGCCGAAUAGCCUGGAUAGUGGUAGGCAGUCUUUUGGGCACCACUGUGGUGGCUUGGCUACUCCUAUUCACGUACAGACGAUGCACGCGUGCCGUGAACUCCAUGAACUUUGAGAAUCCUGUCUACCAUAAGACCCCCGAGGAUCACUUCAGCCUGGAGAAGAAUGUGACGCCACACAUGUAUGCCACGGCCAUGGACGAGGAGGUAAGUGGGUCUGGCCCACCGAUGGCCACGAAUACGAAUACGAAUCCGAAUGACUUUAGCUAUGUCAGAUUUUAAGGAGUGACCUAAGACCUAAGUUAAUGUUGUAUAUAGAUGGCUAAGUGUAUGUAUGCGUAUCAUAGUUGUACGAUUAUGGAUUAUGGAUUAGGGAUUCUAUCUCUAAGGUUAAGCUAAGAUUGAAUUCGAAGUGGGUCCUUAAUGAGUUGUGAAUGUUCUCCCACAAAGUAGUAUCUCUCUCUGUUGAGUGUUUUCCAUAAACUAAUCCACUCUGCAAUAAUUUUAAAUGCUGCGAGUAACAAAAUACCCGAAACAAAGCGAUAACCGCAGACAGGAUUUAGCUAAUAAUAAAAACGUCUGCUAAUCCUUUGCGCGAGCGGGGCACCGAGUGUGUUUAGGACAUCCCGUCAAAAUAUCCAAUAAAUGGAUAUAACAAAAAUAUUAUACACUGGCCGCGUAGACCGGCAAAAAGACCGCAAGAAUAUCUCCUAUUAGUAAUUCCCUUAGACCAAGGUCCCACUCAACUCAAUGCAACUGAACGGGAAGUAAAAGUUGAAUAAGAAAAUGGUACUCGUAGAACAUGAAACGGAGGAAACUUUCAUCUAGAAA
rnacentral:misc_RNA from 1 species